GACGAACCGUGCGAACGUUGUUCGGAAUCACUGGGCUUAAAGGGCGCGUAGGCGGCCCGCCAAGUCAGGGGUGAAAGCCCCCAGCUUAACUGGGGAAGGGCCUCUGAUACUGGCGGGCUCGAGGGGGAUAGGGGCGGACGGAACUUCCGGUGGAGCGGUGAAAUGCGUUGAUAUCGGAAGGAACGCCGGUGGCGAAAGCGGUCCGCUGGGUCCCCUCUGACGCUGAGGCGCGAAAGCCAGGGGAGCAAACGGG
rnacentral:rRNA from 1 species